rnacentral:rRNA from 1 species
GGACCUCGGAUCAGGCCAGGCUACCCGCUGAAUUUAAGCAUAUUAAUAA